rnacentral:lncRNA from 1 species
AGAUGUAAAGUAGUCGAUACAUGUAGUAUGUCAAGACAACCACCAACCCACCCAUACUGUCAGAAGAUGCGGGUUCCAGCAACCCAUUGCUGUAACUGGUUUUAAUGUGAUGAAAGCUAAUGAUGUUGGUCGCAGAAUUUGAAUCUUACCCUCGGCACCAUUCAAAAUCAAAAUUGUUAAAGCAGAUUUUAAGCAUCAGUAGAGGGAGUCUACUGCUUAAAUACACCUCGAUGAUCGAAAUUUUACAACCAAACUAUGCGUGAGACCUUACUUGUAACAAUAGACUGGAUUCGAUUUGCUAAAGAUACCAACCAAAUCAUACUCCACCGUUUUUAAGGAGGGGAAGCACAUAUUUGAUAAUAUAAACCUAGACACCCUCCCCAAAAGAUGGGCUGCUCAUAACUGAAAUUCCUUUUAUCAUAGGGUUUCCUUGAUCACGGUUGUCUUAAUGCUACCCAUUACUCCAUUGCAAGGAGUGAAUCACUGAGAUACGAUAAGGUACCGGUAUUUGAUGUAUUAUUUGGUUAAUCAAUGAAUUCUUAAAACAAACCUGUCAAUUCUUUUUAAACGCCAAACAAUUCGCGAAUGUUAGUAGUUUUUAUUUAUCAAGUUUUACAAUCCUUCUGUGCAUGAACUAUAUGGAAAAUUACUUUCGUGAAAUUAAAUUGUUUUGGAGAAAAAAAAUCUUGUUUUGGUUAAAAUGAAGUUUAUUAAUAUGAUGAUAUCCAAAAUAAUAUGCUUUUAAAAUACGUUUGCAAAUUUGAAAUUUUAUCGACAAUCAAUUGGAGAACUCAGAAAUGGAAAUGAUGUGUAGUGUGAAAUGAGUUAAGAUAUUUCGUAGAGGAAAGUUAAUUAAUGUGUUAAUUUUUCCAGCAUAAACGUACCCUGUACAAACAGUAACCAGAAUAAAUACUGUUUCUCUUUAA